rnacentral:lncRNA from 1 species
GGGAGCCCUGGAUCGCCCUCUGUUUCUGUCUUGCAAGAAACAAGGAAACAGGAGGAUGCAUUGUAUCCGCAUUUUGCAGCGCGCUUCUUCUCCGCUUUCUGCUCUCGGUUUCUUGCGCUCAAAGCGUCGCGCAAAAGAGCCGAGCUCUCCUGGCGGAUCGCGCGCUCCAGACACGGGGAUGCUGCUUCCUGACUUCGGAUUGGCUGCCUGUCACCUUUGGACGAUGCCCAUUGGUCAGCGAUGGUUCUUUGAGAAAUCCUGAUGUUUCAUUGAGGGGUUUCGGGACUCCAUUGAAGGGUUUACAAGCCUCUUCGCUGCAGAACGGGGAGGGGGGUUUCUAGGGGGGGGCACGCAGGCUCGUCGUCCUGCGUGGGUGAAUGGGAUUUGGGGGUGUUUGGAUGGCCUCUUAGUCCCCAGCUCUAUCAACAGCUUGCGGGGUGAAAGGCCCGGAGGGGUCACCUGAGGUCUCUCUCCCCCGACAAGGCUGCUUUGUUGUCUCUGCAAGGCUGUCCUCCUGGCGGUCCUUCUUCUCCUUUAUUUCAACCCCUCACCUGUGAGGCCCCUCCCAAUCCCCCACCCUCAGGACUGGAAAAUGGAAGAGUGUUAUAAACAAAAUUGAGUGAAGCCAAGGAUGAUGACGGGGAUUGAAAAUUCUGCAAUUCACAAUUUCUCCUCUAAAGGAGAUAAGACGUUAUUGUUCAAUUCCAUGGUGAUUUUUAAAAAUGCAUAAUAUUAACAC